GGUCAAAAGUCUUCUUUCAGCAAGAAGCCACAAGAUUGGAAUAACUAUGAUGGCUGUAGGAGAUCUCCCCUCAUGCUACCAGUUCUGGUGUGACCAGAGAAGCAGUAGAGACACCCAAGUGCCCCAGGCUGUAGCAAACAGUAGUAUAAGUGAUGAAGCAAGGCUGGAUACUCCGAGAAGAGGCAUCAAGGAAGAGAGAUCCCAGUUGCUGAAGAGGACUGCAAAUGAUGUGCAGAUGAAAAUAAUGGAUAAGAGUGGCUGGAUUUAGAGUUAGAGGAUUUGGGCUGGAAUCCCGAUACUGCCUAGUAUGACCUAAAUGACAAUGGGCAGAUCAGUUAAUUUCUCUGGACCUCAUUUUCUUCAUCUGUUAAAUUAAGGGAGUUGGAUUACAAUGGAGGUGGCUUGUUAGGUCCUCUCAUUUAAAAGUUUAUGAUUCUAUACUAAAUCUAAAAACUAAAUUUAUAUGAAUAUUUUCAUGAUAACUAGAACAUUAUUUUUAGUGAUUAUCCCAACCCCAGAAGUCCUAUGAUACUAGAUGCCUAAUAGAAACCCAAGUGUUUAAACUGACAGAUUUCAGGAAAAAAGGUAAUUUACUU